GACGAACGCUGGCGGCGUGCUUAACACAUGCAAGUCGAACGGAAAGGCCCUGCUUUUGUGGGGUGCUCGAGUGGCGAACGGGUGAGUAACACGUGAGUAACCUGCACUUGACUUUGGGAUAACUUCAGGAAACUGGGGCUAAUACAGGAUAGGAGCUCCUGCUGCAUGGUGGGGGUUGGAAAGUUUCGGCGGUUGGGGAUGGACUCGCGGCUUAUCAGCUGGUUGGUGGGGUAGUGGCUUACCAAGGCUUUGACGGGUAGCCGGCCUGAGAGGGUGACCGGCCACAUGGGGACUGAGGUACGGCCCAGACUCCUACGGGAGGCAGCAGUGGGGAAUAUUGCACAAUGGGCGGAAGCCUGAUGCAGCAACGCCGCGUGCGGGAUGACGGCCUUCGGGUUGUAAACCGCUUUCGCCUGUGACGAAGCGUGAGUGACGGUAAUGGGUAAAGAAGCACCGGCUAACUACGUG
rnacentral:rRNA from 1 species